rnacentral:rRNA from 1 species
UAGGGAAUUUUCGGCAAUGGGCGAAAGCCUGACCGAGCAACGCCGCGUGAACGAAGAAGGUCUUCGGAUCGUAAAGUUCUGUUAUUGAGGAAGAGCGAUAUUUAUAGGGAAUGAUAAAUAAGAGACGGUACUCAAUGAGGAAGCCACGGCUAACUACGUGCC